AACGAACGCUGGCGGCGCGCCUAAUACAUGCAAGUCGAGCGAGAAGACGGUAGCAAUACGUUUGUAAAGCGGCGAACGGGUGAGGAAUACAUGGGUAACCUACCCUCGAGUGGGGGAAUAACUAGCCGAAAGGUUAGGCUAAUACCGCGUACGCUCCUUGGUACUUCGGUUCAGGGAGGGAAAGGCGAUUACCGUGGGUAGUCGCGCUCUUGGAUGGGCUCAUGUCCGUAUCAG
rnacentral:rRNA from 1 species